rnacentral:rRNA from 1 species
UAGAGAGUUUGUAGUCCUGGCUCAGGAUGAACGCUGGCGGCGUGCUUAACACAUGCAAGUCGAACGGAGAUAUCAUUUUCGUAAGCGAUUAGUUUACUAAGAGCGGAGAUGUUGCUAUCUUAGUGGCGGACGGGUGAGUAACGCGUGGGUAACCUGCCUUGCACUGGGGGAUAACACUUAGAAAUAGGUGCUAAUACCGCAUAACAGUAGGAGACGCAUGUCUUUUACUUGAAAACUCCGGUGGUGUAAGAUGGACCCGCGUCUGAUUAGCUUGUUGGCGGGGUAACGGCCCACCAAGGCAACGAUCAGUAGCCGGCCUGAGAGGGUGAACGGCCACAUUGGGACUGAGACACGGCCCAAACUCCUACGGGAAGCAGCAGUGGGGAAUAUUGGACAAUGGGGGGAACCCUGAUCCAGCGACGCCGCGUGAGUGAAGAAGUAUUUCGGUAUGUAAAGCUCUAUCAGCAGGGAAGAAAGAAAUGACGGUACCUGACUAAGAAGCCCCGGCUAACUACGUG